GGGGCGGCCUAUACAUGCAAGUCGAGCGGACCGACGGUGCAGCUUGCGUCCCUUAGGUCAGCGGCGGACGGGUGAGUAACACGUGGGUAACCUGCCUGUAAGACUGGGAUAACUCCGGGAAACCGGGGCUAAUACCGGAUGCUUGAUUGAACCGCAUGGUUCAAUCAUAAAAGGUGGCUUUUAGCUACCACUUACAGAUGGACCCGCGGCGCAUUAGCUAGUUGGUGAGGUAACGGCUCACCAAAGCGACGAUGCGUAGCCGACCUGAGAGGGUGAUCGGCCACACUGGGACUGAGACACGGCCCAGACUCCUACGGGAGGCAGCAGUAGGGAAUCUUCCGCAAUGGACGAAAGUCUGACGGAGCAACGCCGCGUGAGUGAUGAAGGUUUUCGGAUCGUAAAACUCUGUUGUUAGGGAAGAACAAGUACCGUUCGAAUAGGGCGGUACCUUGACGGUACCUAACCCGAAAGCCACGGCUAACUACGUGCCAGCAGCCGCGGUAAUACGUAGGUGGCAAGCGUUGUCCGGAAUUAUUGGGCGUAAAGCGCGCGCAGGCGGUUUCUUAAGUCUGAUGUGAAAGCCCCCGGCUCAACCGGGGAGGGUCAUUGGAAACUGGGGAACUUGAGUGCAGAAUAGGAAAGUGGAAUUCCACGUGUAGCGGUGAAAUGCGUAGAGAUGUGGAGGAACACCAGUGGCGAAGGCGACUCUCUGGUCUGUAACUGACGCUGAAGCGCGAAAGCGUGGGGAGCGAACAGGAUUAGAUACCCUGGUAGUCCACGCCGUAAACGAUGAGUGCUAAGUGUUAGAGGGUUUCCGCCCUUUAGUGCUGCAGCAAACGCCUUUAAGCACUCCGCCUGGGGGAGUACGGUCGCCAGAACUGAAACUCAAAAGGAAUUGACAGGGGCCCCGCACCAAACGUUGGAACCAUGUGGUUUUAAUUCCAAAGCA
rnacentral:rRNA from 1 species